AAAACCAAAGAUCUAGCACACACCCAUAAGUAACCAAUGAAAAUGUUUCAUACCAUCACCUUAAAAGGUUUAUUUUUCAUUUGCGGAUUUCAAAGAAACCAUCCGAUGAUUUCUUUUGAAGUAGCUCUUAGUUUGUCAAAUACUCAGUUUUUAUAAAGAAAUCAAGAUUCACUUUUCUACACCACCUUAUGGAUAUGGUUAUUGAUGAAUUAAUUUCGAAACUGCUGGAAUUCGUUGAAGAGAUAUCAACGUGAUCUGGAAAGGAAGCCGCAACUCUCAUAAAAAGGUGGAGUGAAUAAUGCUUCAUCAAGUGCUGCCAUUCUUUUCUCUUGCGGAUCUGAACUGGUAAAAUUCAAUUAUAAUUCUUGUCUUCUUUUUACAUAUUGUGCUGAUUGCUAACUAUUUAUUCAUAAAUUACCAUCUUUCCGUAUUUUUAUUGGCUUUACUUUCCUUUGUUUGGUUGCUUAUUACAACGAGAUUUCUCUUUACUUUUGACAAACUAGUAUCAGCUGGUGUUGGUUUCCCUAUACUAGUAUCUCUUUUAAUCACCAUUAUAAGGUUCAUAAUAAGUUUCAAUGCUCAUCUACUUUUCUAUCCCUUAUAUAGUUAUAUUAGCCUUGCAAU